AUGCUCAGCCCCUAAUUUACAGCCAUUUAAAAGCAAACAUUCUACAAGUACCUUUGGGGACCUCUGAGGAUGGAAAGAAAUCGUCGAGAAAUUAGGAACCUAGAGCUCCCCUCGAAGGCAAGAGCCCUUUCGUGCAGGGCCACAGAGCUGGAUCGCCACGGUUGGGGGUGCAAGGUGGAGUGGAAGCUGGCUGGGCUCUCAGGCUCUCAGCCAGGACCGGGGAGGAGCAGAAGGCGGUGUCUGGUCCGAACUAACUUUCCUCUCUAAGCCCUUCUCCCUACAAGGAGCUCUAAGGAAAACUGAUUCCACAGGCUAAGGCACCUCCUCUUCAGAGUAUCCCAUAUAGGAUCAUCAGGGAAAUAAGCAAGAGCUCAAGCUCGAAUGGAGGCGUUUUCUUAGCCCAAGGACCCUAGCGGUGACUGCUAUGAGAGAGUGAAGCUGGUAAAUUCACCUCUACACCUGCUCUUCUGAGGGCAGAGGAAUCCCUGACCUGUAUGAAAUACAAGCCAUUCUUCAGCUGUGAAGAUCCUAAUCACUGAUCCAUCAAAAGGGAUCUGUUUGGAUAAUUCCAGUCUUGGAUCAACCUGGAUCCACCAAGUUCACUGUGUGACUAGAAGCCAACAUUUAUAAGAUGGCCAGACCACUCCAAGGAUGGAAUCAGUGGCUGAGAAAUACAGUAGAGGAACUAGCCCACCGUGGAUGAGUGGACUAGCCCAAUGCUUUAACCAGUUAAGCUCUGCUGCUUUCAAUAGGCAGGGUGGUAUCCCAGUCAAAGUGCCAAAAGCCCUAUUUGCUUUCUGUGUCAAGAGAGGCAACUUUAGUUAAAAAGCAGAAC